AAUUUAUCAAUUCAGAUAACAAAGGGUAGCAUUAUACUGGCUUUUCUCGGGUGGGGAGUAGGGGCAGAUAAUGCCUGUUUCAUUAGAAGGAGUGAUCUGACGCUGGCAGGGGCUGGGACCAGGAGACAAACUUUCACUGUGCUGAAGAAUUUUGGAUUAUCCUUCAAGAUGUAACUCCAGCAUCAGCUUCUAUGGAAAUACUUCUCCAGCUUCCCCAAGCAACAAGGCCAUCCCUCUUCUGUACACAUUUAAUAAAUGACUUGUUUACCUGCUGGACUAUCUGUCCAUCCUGUUGGAACAUAAGCUCUGUGGACUGUGUAUUAUGGACUUUUGGGUUUUCACUCGUUACCCUGCAUUUCUCCUUGUUGCCUCUCCCCAACAUGCUGUCAUGUGGUAAGUGCUAAUUAAAUGGUGAUUGUUAGAACAGA